AGAGAGGAAACUGUAGGGGGUUU
rnacentral:piRNA from 1 species